AGGGGCUUAGGAUAAGAACAAACCAAGGACCUUCAAAGCCCUAAAUGAGGGUGAAAACCCCUCAGCCCCUG
rnacentral:tRNA from 1 species